rnacentral:misc_RNA from 1 species
GAUGAAGAACGCAGCGAAAUGCGAUACGUAAUGUGAAUUGCAGAAUUCAGUGAAUCAUCGAAUCUUUGAACGCAUAUUGCGCUCUCUGGUAUUCCGGAGAGCAUGCUUGUUUGAGUAUCAGUAAACACCUCAACUCCCCUUUCUUUUUUUGAAAUGGGAGUUGGACUUGAGUGAUCCCAACGCUUUUCCUCACCGAAAAGUGGCGGGUUACUUGAAAUGCAGGUGCAGCUGGACUUUUCUCUGAGCUAUAAGCAUAUCUAUUUAGUCUGCCUAAAAAACAGAUUAUUACCUUUGCUGCAGCUAACAUAAAGGAGAUUAGUUCUUGUGCUGACUGAUGCAGGAUUCACAAAGACAGGCUUCGGCCGACUUUGUAAACUCGAUCUCAAAUCAAGUAAGACUACCCGCUGAACUUAAGCAUAUCAAUAAGCGGAGGA